UUAUUUUUUAUUAUUUUAAAAGAAGACAGCAUGCACCACAAAAAAGGAAAUUACGAACGUUCUUCUAAUACUACUUUACUUUGUUAAAAUUGUCUACUAGUAUUUUCAAAAUUUUCUUUUCAUCUCAUUGUUUUCCCAAUGGCCAACAAUUUACAUACGGGCUAAUAUAAGAACAUUAUUUUAUAUAGUGAUGAUACAAUGCUUUAUGAAAUGCGCAACCAUGAUUACCACGCAUUUUUAACUUCCUUGGAUGGCUGAAAAUAAAGAUUAAAAUGUUCAGAUUUAUUUUUAUAAUGUGUUCACUUAAUAAACUUUAAUUUCUUUGUUGACAGCUUGCAGUUAACCUGGAGGCAAUCACAUAUGUAAAAAGGUAAUAUUACGGCCCUUCAAAACUACUGUAGAUAAGUUUGGUACCAGAAAUAAAUUAUUUUUU